rnacentral:rRNA from 1 species
AAUGAACGCUGGCGACGCGCCUAACACAUGCAAGUCGAGCGAGAACGUAACUUCGGUUACUAGUACAGCGGCGAACGGGUGUGUAACACGUGAGAAUCUACCCAUUAGUGAUGGAUACCUUCAGGAAACUGAAGUUAAUACAGCAUACGACCCUUCGGGGAGAAAGGCGGCCUCUUUGCUGCCGCUGAUGGAUGAGCUCGCGGCCUAUUAGUUUGUUGGUGGGGUAAAGGCCUACCAAGACGAUGAUGGGUAGCCGGCCUGAGAGGGUGAUCGGCCACAUUGGGACUGAGAUACGGCCCAGACUCCUACGGGAGGCAGCAGUGAGGAAUUUUGCGCAAUGGACGAAAGUCUGACGCAGCGACGUCGCGUGGAGGAUGAAGGUUUUCGGAUCGUAAACUCCUGUUAAGUGGGAAGAAAAGCACAUGGUUAAUACCCAUGUGUCAUGACGGUACCACUAGAGAAAGCACCGGCUAACUUCGUGCCAGCAGCCGCGGUAAUACGAGGGGUGCAAGCGUUAUUCGGAAUUACUGGGCGUAAAGGGCGUGUAGGCGGCCUAUUAAGUCAGUUGUUAAAUCCCUCAGCCUAACUGAGGACUCGCGAUUGAUACUGGUAGGCUAGAGUGCAGAAGAGAGAGGUGGAAUUAUCGGAGUAGCGGUAAAAUGCGUAGAUCUCGAUAGGAACACCGAUGGCGAAGGCAGCCUCUUGGUCUGUGUCUGACGCUGAGGCGCGAAAGCGUGGGGAGCAAACAGGAUUAGAUACCCUGGUAGUCCACGCCGUAAACGAUGAUCACUAGAUGUGGCUUGAGCUUGCUCGGGCCGUGUCGCAGCUAACGCAUUAAGUGAUCCGCCUGGGAACUACGAUCGCAAGAUUAAAACUCAAAGGAAUUGACGGGGGUCCGCACAAGCGGUGGAACAUGUGGUUUAAUUCGACGCUACGCGAGUAACCUUACCUAGGUUUGACAUGCUUUUGACAUCCGUGGAAACACGGCUUUCCAAGUUUACUUGGACAAUUGCACAGGUGCUGCAUGGCUGUCGUCAGCUCGUGUCGUGAGAUGUUUGGUUAAGUCCUCUAACGAGCGCAACCCCUGCUGUCAGUUGCUAAUACUUCGGUAUGCACUCUGGCAGGACUGCCUGGGAAACCAGGAGGAAGGUGGGGGUGACGUCAAGUCCUCAUGGCCCUUAUACCUAGGGCUACACACGUGUUACAAUGGCUGGUACAAAGGGCAGCAACCCCGCGAGGGUGAGCUAAUCUCACAAAGCCAGUCUAAGUUCGGAUUGGAGUCUGCAACUCGACUCCAUGAAGUUGAAAUCGCUAGUAAUCGCGCAUCAUAUCGGCGCGGUGAAUACGUUCUCGGACCUUGUACACACCGCCCGUCACACCACGAAAAUCGUCUGUACCCAAAGCCAUCUUAGCUAACCUCGUAAGAGGAGGCGGGUGUCUAAGGUACGGGGGGUAAUUGGGGUG